ACAGAGGUGGCAAGCGUUGUUCGGAAUUACUGGGCGUAAAGGGCGCGUAGGUGGCCUUCUUAGUCAGACGUGAAAUCCCCAGGCUUAACCUGGGAACUGCGUCUGAUACUGGAAGGCUCGAGUUCGGGAGAGGAAUGUGGAAUUCCAGGUGUAGCGGUGAAAUGCGUAGAUAUCUGGAGGAACACCGGUGGCGAAGGCGGUCUGCUGGGCAGUUGCUGACACUGAGGCGCGACAGCGUGGGGAGCAAACAGGA
rnacentral:rRNA from 1 species